AUGAAGAACGUAGCGAAAUGCGAUACGUAGUGUGAAUUGCAGAAUUCAGUGAAUCAUCGAAUCAUUGAACGCACAUUGCACCUCUCGGUAUUCCGGGAGGUAUGCCUGUUCGAGCGUCAUUUGUACCCUCAAGCUCUGCUUGGUGUUGGGUGUUUGUUCCGCCUCUGUGUGUGAACUCGCCUCAAAACAAUUGGCAGCCGGCGUACUUGUUUCGGAGCGCAGCACAUUUUGCGAUCCAGAUCAACGUACAGCGGCAUCCAAGAAGCCUUAUUUAACGCUCUUGACCUCGGAUCAGGUAGGGAUACCCGCUGAACUUAAGCAUAUCAAUAAGCGGAGGA
rnacentral:misc_RNA from 1 species